CAGCUGGUGACUGUGGUGGGACUGGCGCACCCCUGUGUUCGGGCCUUCACACACACCGUCAGGCUCUGGAAACAAGGCUGUACCGGCCCACCCUGGUGCAUGGGUUAUGAAAGAAGGUGAGGGUGCUUUCUCCUCUUUUCGUGUGAUUAUGACUAAUGAAAACCAGAAGCCUCAUCUGCUUCUAAAUAUUUCAUCCAAUAAAUUUGGGGAAAUAAUUGCAUGCUUAAGUAAAUGAGCAUAAGGUACACUCACCAAGAACUUUCAGAAUAAUGUAUUUUCUUCGGAGACAGAAUGUACGAUCACUUCACUUGGGCUUCAUUUAUGUGUGAAGUAUUUUAGGCUAGAUGCCACUAAUUUUACCUCAUGACAUGAUACACCAUUGAAAGCCAAAGAUCAGAAGCCUGACAGAAACAAGGAAUAUUGUGUCGGUGUGCUAAAUUUAGCACGACUUGGAUCCAGGGGAUCUACAGUUGUGAACCAUCCUCUGACCUGCCCUUGUACUCUUGUAGCACUUUGAAACCUAGAGCUUCUUUAACUUUAUUAUGGCCUUUGAAUUAGGAUUAACUCGGCAGGCUGGAAGAGGAGAGAAAAGCCAGUGUCCACAAUGCUUUCUGGGAGCCAGGGCUUCCUGCAGAUAUUUUUUUUUUCUCAAAGUUUUAAAAUAGUUUUUAAAAACAUCUAAGAACUUAUUGAUACAAACUGUUGCUGAGGGAUUGAGUUUUAUGUAAAUCAGUCAACUGAAUCUGAACUCAAGAUACUUAACCUUAAAAAAAAGUGUAGUUUCAGGUUAAUGAAGAAUUUAGUAUUGAUACUAUUAUUGCCAGUGGAAAGUUGGGGACAUUUAUACAUAGCUGGGUUUGCCAUGGUAGAGAAAUAUCAGAACACUUACAAUAUAGAACUAUGUACAGUAUGAUAAGACUAAACAGUUUAUGACUGGGGAUAUUUACAUAUACUGUGUUGUGCACGUGUGUGUGCACAUGUGUGUUCAACCUUUACUCUUAUUUUUGGUCCAAACUAAGCAUAUUUAAUUGACAUUUAGAUCAGAAAAAUUUCCCUGACUUCUACUUGCUCUGUGGUCUUACACAAAAAUCCUAGAUUUUUCUGUGCCUUAGUCUAUAAAGUUGGAAAAAUAAUGCCAUGCAUGGGUAUUAUGAGAAUUAACUGAAAAUAUAUUUAGCACAUGUGGCACAAUGCUUGGUACAUGAUAGGGACCCAAUAUAUUUUAGGUAGUAUAAUGCUGUGGCAGAAAAAUUUAUUUUAAAAUAAAUUAGAAUGGAAACCAUACUUACAGGGCAUAUGAUUUAUUCAUCAGAGUACUUGUUUUGUAAAUGGUUUUUCAUUUAGAUUUUCUCUACUGCUCACAUGAGGUUUAAUCAUUGUUGGUAUUAGUCAGAGCCAAAGAAAGAAAUACCUAUUCCUUACAGAUAUGCAGAAUUGGGAAAAGGAAAUCUAAAUAAGUAAAACAGAUUUUAUAUUUAUAUUCUCAAGAGCUUAGUAGUUUUAGACAUUCCGUGUAUGACUCUGGGUUCAGAGUGGUGGCAGCAUUGAAAGAUGCUUGGGGCUUUGUACAUUACUAUACAACCCUAUACUUAUAUUCUAAUCAGAGAGAGACACUCUGAAAUAUUAGGUUAUACUUCCAGGUGGUAAAAAAAAUGCUAUGGUAUGGCCAGUAAACCCUAUUUUUGAGAGAAGAGAAAGAGCAUAUUCAUUGCCAGGGGAGAAAGAGAAAUUGGAAGAAGUAAAAAGUAAAAUUGACCUUGAACAAUGAGGGAAUUUAGGCUGGAAUGUGGGGGGAAGGUGUCUGAAGGGGGCAGAAUAUGAUAGUGCUUUGGGGAAAAAUAAUGAAUAUAACAUUGAUCUAACAGAAAGGAAAUCAGACUGGAGAUAUUGGUAUAAUACUCUAUUGGUAGGUCAGCGCAAAUACUUCAGUGUUGUUCCUGGUCUCUUCCCUAAGGAGCCUUUUUAAGCUUUUCUUUCCACAAUUUCCCCCUCCCUGUGAGACUUUAGCAUCACAUGUAUAUUUUAUAUCUAUUUAUGUGCUAUGCUCCUUUAGGGGCCACACACCAUUGAAUCAGUUGAUUAUUUUCAUUUUCCCUUGAACUAAAGACUAACUGUCGCCACCCUGCACGUGACAGCACCAUGGUUGAGAUUGUGUGCUGUAGUGGAACCAAUACCCGGGGAUCUUCAAUGCCACCUUGAAAAGCAUGUAUCCAUAAUCUUUCAGGGUUUCUUGAUUCUCUUUAUAAUUUUGGGUUUAAUUCUCUCUCCCACCCCCCAAUUUUAUAGUUGUAAAUGGACAGAAUGCCUUUAUUUCACUUGUUAUUUUUUUUAAUGUGGUGCUGUGGAUCGAACCUAGUGCCUCACACAUGGUAGGCAAGCACAUGUAGUCCCUGAGCUCCAGCUCCAGCCCUGAGUUUAAUUCUUGAUAGCUUGAGUGAUCCUCAGGGUAUUUUUUACUACAGCACAUAGGGUCCUUCUUAAUUUUUAUUACCUAUACUUAUAAUUUAUUUUGGUUGCCUAUGUAAAGAGGUAUAUGUGUAUAAUAUAUUGAGAUUAUAUGCACAUGUACAUAUAUAUAAACAUAUAUACAUGUAUCUCUAUAUCUAUCAUCUAUGUUUCUGUCUUGUUAUAUAUGAUAGGAUUUGAAUUGGAGAGAGGGAUUUUUUUUUUUUUGAGUGUGAAAACUUUGCCUUAAAAGGAAGCAUUACAUUCCCCUGAUCCAAAUUCUUGUGUUCCUUAGGACUCGGUACUAUACCAUCUACAGGCAGGUAUACAACAGGGAGCAGCAGACAGUCUACAGGUGCUGCCCUGGUUGGAGCCGAUGGGAUGAUGAACCCGGCUGCCUACACUGUAAGUUAUAAUUCUUCCUGUCUAACUCUAUGUCAUUAGAAAGAAUGGUUUUGCUCUGUGUUUGGCUUCAAUCAUCUUAUGCCUGUCAAGUUUUCGGCAUCUUUAGAAGCACCACAGUUCACAGCAUCUCUUUGGACUGAAUAUUCACACAUGACAUGUGCAAAAAUGCACAAAAAGCCUUUCUGUUAAGCGUUUCUAAUGAUAGGUCAUGACUCAGGACCUAUGGAAGUGCUGCUUUAUAUUCUGUCUCUUUAUUUAAAAGACUGUUGAUUUAAAGCCAGACGGGUUCUACCUUGACUUCCAUUUCUCUUUUCUGUUUGCCCCUUUCCCAUAUCAUCAAAUUUGUAAUCCACAGUUGAUUCAGAAGUCCAGAGGGAAAUCACUGUACUAAAUCUAAAUGGGAUUUCUCCACUUGUGCUUGUCAUGAUUAAUUGCAGAACUCUGGAGGCAGUUUACUUUUUAAGAUGAGGUAUGCAGUCCUCUUACAAGCCUCUGGUGUGGGUGUUUCAGAAUCUUUCAGGUAUGUUUGACAGCACUUGGGCAAGAACUAGUGGCAUUCUGUAGUUCAUUCUUGCCAGGAGAAAUGGUUCCAUUUAGCGGCUCCUUUACCUACAUUAUGUGUUUAUGGUUAUUGCGAAAUCCCUUAAAAUGCUUCCGUGUGUUGCAAUCAAUGCAGCGCCACAGCACAACAAUUCAUCUCUCCUGCUCUGCUGUACCUGAGGGAGUUUGUUGGCAUCCUGCUUCCUUCCCUAGUGUGCUUUCUGCUCUUGAAAUGUCUUUGUGAGGUUGCCGCGGGCUUCCCAUAUUAAGCAGGCUUAGCGUUGAGUGGUGCAGCAAGGGUCACUGUCUAUUUACAUGAAGCGCAAGGCCACUGCAGCUGACUGGUUUAAGAUCAUCGAAAAGAACUGCCCAACAUACUAUUUCACUAUGUUAUGAACUUCUGGAAAUUAACAACUAUGAGAUGAAUUCUUUAUGUUUGUGGUAAGGUACCUAUCACAGUCCUUUGCCUCUGAUUAAGAAUCAGUAAUUCAUUUGAUUUUUAGAUUGUUUUGACCACACAAUCAUCUUAUCCAUGCAUUUUGACCACACAAUCGUCUUAUCCAUGCAGACUUUUUAGAUUAGUGCUUAUCAAAUUUGAAUGUGAAUGUGGAUCACCUGGUGUCUUGUUGAAAUACGAAUCUGAUUCAGUGGACCUGGGAUGGAGCCUGGAAUUCUGCAUUUCUGCAAGCUUUCAGGUGAUGGGAAUAUUCCUACACAAGGAAUUCUUUAAAGCUUUGGACAGUAAGGCCUUAACUUGUAAUGAAAACACUCUUUAUCCAUGCUUUGAAGGGGCUAAGAGAAAUGUCUAGAAUAUGUUAUAUUAACAAUAUGGAGCCCAUAUUCAUGAUUUUCUUUCUUUCUCUCAACUCCAUUCUCCUACCCUGCUUGAUUGCCCUCCUUUUAGCUAUCUCUGCUAUGGGAACUCAUUUCAACAGUAGGAAAUGCUCAGAUGGUGAAGUCCAGAACUGCCAGUGUUCACAGGGAUUUCACGGACCCCACUGUCAAUAUGGU
rnacentral:lncRNA from 1 species